AAAUUUCUGUGCGCUAGAGAGCGGAGCCGAUGCUGAGGAGGACAAACAUAAUUUCCAGACGGAUUUUCCAUCAUUAAAGUUAUGCUGCAUAGCUUUCUAUGGAGGGACGGAAAGCUCUCAGAUCUCAUCAAAAAUAUCUGAAUUUGUGUUCUGAAGAUGAACAAAGGUCUUACAGAUGUGGAGUGACAUGAGGGUCUCCAUGGUCAACACCUCUACGACUUCACAGAGGACACACAUGUGGGAUUUUAAUUCCGAAUUCAUUUGUGCCGCCACCGACCCCCUAUUCGCUCAGCGGCUGCUAAGGGGACUCUUGGGAGCCCUAUCGCAGUUCUAUAUGCAAAUGUCCUUGCACCUGGGCAGUGGUGCAGGCAUGCUGGGAGGUUAUUUAUGCAAAUCUGAUAACCACAGUCACCGGCGGAAUGAUUUUAGAUGAACAGUCUUCUGCUCGGACAGGACGGUCAACAUGGGCGUUUUACUUCACCGGACCAAUGACAGUUUGUCAAAGUGGUCCAGACUCUCACAACAGUACCGCCUGGAGUACCGCCUGUGGGUGGACCAGCAGCUUUGAUUCCACCAUCAGCAGGGUGUUUCAUCUCAGUACUGAUGCCUUUCAAAGGAGCGGUUGUCUCAGAGCGGAUGGAAAGAAUGAACAUUAGAGGAGAUGAAAAAAAACCCGUCUCACCGUACCUUUGACUGGGAAGAGGUGUCGUGGAAUUCCCCGGAGACUGUGAGAUGCAGUCUGAUGGGCGAGUCUGGGUUUGGCAGAUGCCAGGAGAACGUUACCUGCCUGACUGCAUUGUGCCAACUGUAAAUUUUGGAUGAGAAAGAACAAUGGUAUGGGUUUUUCAGGGGUUGGGAUAGGCCUCAAACUUCCAGUGAAGAGAAAUCUUAAUGCUUCAGCAAAUCAAGACAUUUAGGACAAUGAUAUGCUUCCAACUUUGUAGGAACAGUUUGGAGAAGGCCCUUUUCUAUUCCAGCAUCACUGUGCCCCAGUGCACAAAUAAGGUCCAUAAAGACAUCGCUGGGUGGACUGGAAUGGAGAUUGUGAGCCAGGCCUUCUUCCCCAACAUCAGUGCCUAACCCUAACAAAUUAUCUACUAGAUAAAUGGGCAAAAAUUCCCAGUGAAACACUCCCAGACAGCCUGAGUGGAAGAGUGGAAGCUGUUAUAGCUGCAAAGGG